rnacentral:lncRNA from 1 species
AGUCUGAGCAGGGCCUCACAACAGUGGGGCACGAGGCAGGAACUUCCAUGAGCAUAGCCUUAGCCAUGAUCUUAACCUGCCCACAGUGUUUGUUUGUUUGUUUGUUUUGAGAUGGAGUCUCUCUCUGUCACCCAGGCUGGAGUACAGUGGCGUGAUCUCGGAGCACCGCAACCUCCAUCUCCCAGUUUUAAGCAAUUCUCCUGUCUCAGCCACCUGAGUAGCUGGGACUACAGAAAAAGUGAAGGGAGAAGGUUCUGAACAGACCCAUCCACUAAUCUGGCUCACAGUUGCUGGCUGAAACUGACUGUUACCGGCAACUGUUAUGGCCUAAUAUCGAAGCACAAGUUCUACCUCAGGCCUGGUUCCUCAGCAUUCAUCACUGAGAGAUUCAGGCAAGAGGGAGAUAAGUUCAAGAGGACAGCCAUUCUACCAGGAGUUGCAUCUUCAUCUAGUAUUUGAAAUGAUAAUUUAUAGGGGAAAUCAUUCAAGAUAACAUGCUCCAGAAGGAAAAUAUACCCUGCUGUUGUUCCAGCUCCUUAAAUCAUGUUUUACCUAGUCUAACAAGAUGGCUAAUUUUCCUUGG